rnacentral:rRNA from 1 species
UACGGGGGGGCAAGCGUUGUUCGGAAUUACUGGGCGUAAAGGGCUCGUAGGUGGCCAACUAAGUCAGACGGUGAAAUCCCUCGGCUUAACCGGGGAACUGCGUCUGAUACUGGAUGGCUUGAGUUUGGGAGAGGGACGCGGAAUUCCAGGUGUAGCGGUGAAAUGCGUAGAUAUCUGGAGGAACACCGGUGGCGAAGGCGGC